rnacentral:misc_RNA from 1 species
UGGCUCUGGCAUNGAUGAAGAACGCAGCGAAAUGCGAUAAGUAAUGCGAAUUGCAGAAUUCAGCGAGUCAUCGAAUCUUUGAACGCACAUUGCGCCCGCCAGCAUUCUGGCGGGCAUGCCUGUCCGAGCGUCAUUACCACCCGUCAAGCCCUGCUUGUGUUGGGGACCCGCGGCUGCCGCGGGCCCUGAAAACCAGUGGCGGGACCGCCCCCGCGCCGAGCGUAGUAGCAACGCCUCGCUCCGGUGCCUCGGCGGACCCCCGGCCCAGACCACCGCGCCCCCGCGCGCGGCCUUCGUGUUGACCUCGGAUCAGGUAGGAAUACCCGCUGA